rnacentral:rRNA from 1 species
AACGUAGGACACAAGCGUUAUCCGGAGUUACUGGGCGUAAAGGGCGUGUAGGCGGACCUAUAAGUCUAUUCUGAAAGCUCCUGGCUAAACCUGGGAGAGGCGAAUGGAGACUGUAGAUCUAGAGUGAGGAAGAGGAAAGUGGAAUUCCGCGUGUAGUGGUGAAAUGCGUAGAGAUGCGGAGGAACACCAGUGGCGAAAGCGACUUUCUGGUCCUUAACUGACGCUGAGGCGGCGAAAGCAUGGGGAGCGAACGGG